rnacentral:lncRNA from 1 species
CUCUUAUUUUAUCUAAGUGGUGGUGGGUGAAAGGGGGUGGAAAGAUACUGUAUCCCACAUUAUAGGCUGGGUGGUAAGUCUUUUAGAAACUUCUUGAUUAUUUUGUGCUAAUUUUGAGCUGUGUUUACAUUCAGGUGGGCAACCAAGUGAGCCAGUAUCAUCUGGAUUGUAUAGAGAUAAAGAACAAGGACAGGGAGUUGUCUUCAAAUAUUUGAAGUACAAUUAUGAAGAACAGAUGAAGGUUAUCAAUGGCACUAAGAUUUGGUUUUAAUAUCCAAAGUUUUAUAAAACAACUACUUUGGACUAGGUACAAUGUCAGGUGCUGUGGGGGUGGGUACAAAAAUAAGAUGAUAUCUGCUCUUACGCUGAAAGUGGAUGAUGAGCUUUAAAGCAAGGCCAAUUGUGAGUUCAGAAGAGCAAAGUGUCAAAGUAGCUCAAAGAAAUGAGAAUUUUGGAUAAAUGGAGACUUGGCUGAUGGUGAGCAGGGUGAUGGAUGGACUGGGUACUACUUGUGCUGGAAAUGAGCCACUGACCAGAGGAAGAGAUGUGAUUUCAUCAGGAAUUUGGGGAUAUCACAACUGCUGUAAAGACCAGAAGAAGAAAAGUCAAGGAGACGUCUGCUGGUUUUCAGAUCUGAAGUGCAAGAUUCAUGGAAAGCCUUCUGCUGCCAGCAGCCACGAAUUGAUGAGCAAGAGGCCUCUAGGAAGCAGCUACAAAAGCCCAGCAGUUUGCCAUGGCCACCUACCUGCUUCAUUUACCACCUGGAGAAUAUAACAUCUUCCUAUCCACCUUUCCCAUUUCACCCGGG